rnacentral:rRNA from 1 species
UACGUAGGGUGCAAGCGUUAAUCGGAAUUACUGGGCGUAAAGCGUGCGCAGGCGGCUUUGCAAGACAGAUGUGAAAUCCCCGGGCUUAACCUGGGAACUGCAUUUGUGACUGCAUGGCUGGAGUGCGGCAGAGGGGGAUGGAAUUCCGCGUGUAGCAGUGAAAUGUGUAGAUAUGCGGAGGAACACCGAUGGCGAAGGCAAUCCCCUGGGCCUGCACUGACGCUCAUGCACGAAAGCGUGGGGAGCAAACAGG